CUGACGAGUGGCGGACGGGUGAGUAAUGUCUGGGAAACUGCCUGAUGGAGGGGGAUAACUACUGGAAACGGUGGCUAAUACCGCAUAACGUCGCAAGACCAAAGAGGGGGACCUUCGGGCCUCUUGCCAUCAGAUGUGCCCAGAUGGGAUUAGCUUGUUGGUGAGGUAACGGCUCACCAAGGCGACGAUCCCUAGCUGGUCUGAGAGGAUGACCAGCCACACUGGAACUGAGACACGGUCCAGACUCCUACGGGAGGCAGCAGUGGGGAAUAUUGCACAAUGGGCGCAAGCCUGAUGCAGCCAUGCCGCGUGUAUGAAGAAGGCCUUCGGGUUGUAAAGUACUUUCAGCGGGGAGGAAGGUGUUGUGGUUAAUAACCGCAGCAAUUGACGUUACCCGCAGAAGAAGCACCGGCUAACUCCGUGCCAGCAGCCGCGGUAAUACGGAGGGUGCAAGCGUUAAUCGGAAUUACUGGGCGUAAAGCGCACGCAGGCGGUCUGUCAAGUCGGAUGUGAAAUCCCCGGGCUCAACCUGGGAACUGCAUUCGAAACUGGCAGGCUUGAGUCUUGUAGAGGGGGGUAGAAUUCCAGGUGUAGCGGUGAAAUGCGUAGAGAUCUGGAGGAAUACCGGUGGCGAAGGCGGCCCCCUGGACAAAGACUGACGCUCAGGUGCGAAAGCGUGGGGAGCAAACAGGAUUAGAUACCCUGGUAGUCCACGCCGUAAACGAUGUCUACUUGGAGGUUGUGCCCUUGAGGCGUGGCUUCCGGAGCUAACGCGUUAAGUAGACCGCCUGGGGAGUACGGCCGCAAGGUUAAAACUCAAAUGAAUUGACGGGGGCCCGCACAAGCGGUGGAGCAUGUGGUUUAAUUCGAUGCAACGCGAAGAACCUUACCUGGUCUUGACAUCCACAGAAGAAUCCAGAGAUGGAUUUGUGCCUUCGGGAACUGUGAGACAGGUGCUGCAUGGCUGUCGUCAGCUCGUGUUGUGAAAUGUUGGGUUAAGUCCCGCAACGAGCGCAACCCUUAUCCUUUGUUGCCAGCGGUUAGGCCGGGAACUCAAAGGAGACUGCCAGUGAUAAACUGGAGGAAGGUGGGGAUGACGUCAAGUCAUCAUGGCCCUUACGACCAGGGCUACACACGUGCUACAAUGGCGCAUACAAAGAGAAGCGACCUCGCGAGAGCAAGCGGACCUCAUAAAGUGCGUCGUAGUCCGGAUUGGAGUCUGCAACUCGACUCCAUGAAGUCGGAAUCGCUAGUAAUCGUGGAUCAGAAUGCCACGGUGAAUACGUUCCCGGGCCUUGUACACACCGCCCGUCACACCAUGGGAGUGGGUUGCAAAAGAAGUAGGUAGCUUAACCUUCGGGAGGGCGCUUACCACUUUGUGAUUCAUGACUGGGGUGAAGUCGUAACAAGGUAACCGUAGGGGAACCUGCGGUUGGAUCACCUCCUUACCUUAAAGAA
rnacentral:rRNA from 3 species